rnacentral:lncRNA from 1 species
UGGAAGCCGCAUCUCCACCCCGCGGGCUCUGCGGCAGCGCCGCGCUUUCUUCGGACUUGUAGGGCGGUUGCUCUAGUUGCUUCCUAGCAAGGCAAUAGUCUUCUGGGGAUAGAUGGGAGUCUUCUCUCCCUUAAAAGUGUUUUUCUUUUAUAAUUUUUAAAUUAAAAAUUCCUCCUGGGGACGACAGACCUGAGGGAGAAAAGAGGAUCCGCUGUUUCGGGACCAUCACUGGUCCAGCCGGCCACCUUUCUCCCUGGUGGGCCUGAGCCUUUGUUCGGCAGGGUCCAAGUUAGGGAGAACGGGUAGGAAAUGAGCACCUGGGUUUGGAUAAACUCUAUGCGGACUUUCCCACCCGCGCCGCCUGUAGAAAACUCGAUGUUGCAGGCCUCGCUGCCUGAGAUCUAUCUAAUUCAGGCGCGGCGGUCCAACUGCUAAGAGCCGAAGCUGCUGGGCUGGGAAAUGGUUGCAGUCAAGAGCAUCCGCACAGGCUCUGCAGAAAGUCGGGGGUUAGAAAGGCUGCUCGGAGAUGCCUCCGCGCUGGAAACAGUCUGGCACCUCACUCCACAGCCCGAUUCCUGUAGCUUUUGACCCCGCCUCCACCUUUAGAGCGCUAGUGCUCUCUGGACCCAGAGUUUUGCCACAGCCUACAACCCGCUUGACAACAGGCCGACCCUUCCCCAUCUUUCCUACUAGCGCCCCAGCCGCUCUGGCUCUGGGGCUGGUUAAGUUUGCAUGACUGUAUCUCUGCUGGUAAACCACAAACCAUGAGGGAAGUAAGGGGUCCUGCAUCAGCGCU